rnacentral:rRNA from 1 species
GACGAACGCUGGCGGCGUGCUUAACACAUGCAAGUCGAACGGAAAGGCCCUGCUUUUGUGGGGUGCUCGAGUGGCGAACGGGUGAGUAACACGUGAGUAACCUGCCCUUGACUUUGGGAUAACUUCAGGAAACUGGGGCUAAUACCGGAUAGGAGCUCCUGCUGCAUGGUGGGGGUUGGAAAGUUUCGGCGGUUGGGGAUGGACUCGCGGCUUAUCAGCUUGUGGGUGGGGUAGUGGCUUACCAAGGCUUUGACGGGUAGCCGGCCUGAGAGGGUGACCGGCCACAUUGGGACUGAGAUACGGCCCAGACUCCUACGGGAGGCAGCAGUGGGGAAUAUUGCACAAUGGGCGGAAGCCUGAUGCAGCAACGCCGCAUGCGGGAUGACGGCCUUCGGGUUGUAAACCGCUUUCGCCUGUGACGAAGCGUGAGUGACGGUAAUGGGUAAAGAAGCACCGGCUAACUACGUG